GCUAAGCAUCUGUCAAUUAUUCUUUAAAAUUGUAUAUAGGUAUCAGUUUCCUUCCUUGACAAAAACAUUGCACCAUAUAGCGUUGUUUGAGGCUGCUUUUUCCCUUUCAAAGGUAAGUGGAAACACAUGUUGACACCUGAUUUUUGACCUCCCGUAAUUUAUUUUAAUUAUUCGAGGUCCUUGGAUAAUAAAUAAAAUAAUUUUACACACCCCUAAAGACUCCGGAUAAUUUUACAUAAUUACCCAGGUCAACAUUUUACUUCUAUAAAUUAAUAGGAAAACCUUCAAGGCUCUAUUAAUCAUUCAGAAAUUUAUCAGCAUUUUAUAAAAUACUUUUAUAAUUUGUCAACAACAGAUCCGUUUUAAACAAUUGUUCAUUUAAUUAAUCAAAGUUAAGAAAUCAAAUGAGAAUGCAAUUUAUUUUAUUUUUUAUCCAAGGAAUUUAAGUAGUUGAGAGAAUUUACCAUUAUACCCCUCAAGCUUUAAAUUAUUAUAUGUUUGCAUAAUUAUGUCGAUUUUGACGAAAUUGUUUUGAAAUUAAUUUUUAGUUUUAAUUAUUGUAUUCUUGCAUAGAUGACCACCUCAUAAUUAACCAUUUCAUGGUUCAAGAUAGCUGGGGUCAAUUUUUGCAAAUUUUAAAUUCCUAAUGACUUUAAUUGAAAUGUCCAGACCAUGGGAAAAUUGAUUAAGGUCAUUAAUGCAAAUAUGUCUUAAUUGGUUAAAUUAAUACCAAGGUAAGGCUAUAUUUGCAAUAAUUAAUUGCAAGGCUAUUUCUGCAAUUAAUUACACUAGCAGGCUACAAUUGCAACCCUCAUUUAAUUAAGGGUCAAUUAAAGUGCCAUAUUUGCAAAACAAGUUUUAAAGUCACAUUUUAAUUUAAUUACACCUUUGUUGGACCACGUUUUAAUUAAUUUUUUGUUGUGACUAGUUAUUUUAAACACUAACCUAUUUUUCUAUAGUGCUCGUCUUACCCCUACGUGCAUAUAUACAUUCCAUAUACGCUCGUAUACGUGUACGAUAUACAAAAUAGGCCCUCCUCAUUUAAAAUAAAUGGCCGAGCCCAGUCCAUAAUGGACUUGACCCGACCCAAAUGGGAGAAGUAUGUACUCCCUCCACUUCAGUCAAACACACCCCUAGGAGGGGUCAUUACUCUCUCUACAAGCUAGGGUUUCUUACAACCCUAGCGCCGCCCCAUCCCUUCACCUCUUUUCACGUUCAAUCGACGGCGUAGGUCCUAGAAUAGGCGCGUGAGACAUGGUGUUGGCAGAAGAAAGGAUGACGCAUUUAAUUGCUUCGUCCUUUUCGCGUUUUCUCCACUCAAUCUCAUCCAAACAGACCCUUAAAGAUCUAAGCUUAAAGUUUGUGAAAACUGUGAUAUCCCACAUCGUUUGUGAAGUGGUAGAAGUUAUCUUUAGGGUUCUAUAAAUAGAACCCCAUGUAUUGUCAAAAGAAGAAGAAGGAAUCCGGAUAAAAAAGCUUCCUACUUGAUAUCAUUCGAGUUAAAAGCUUAUUAGUUAAAAUUCUAAAGGUUUUAAGGUUUAAAAAAACUUGUUCUCAGUACAAAAUUUCCUUUUUUUUUUUU